rnacentral:rRNA from 1 species
GAUGAACGCUGGCGGCGUGCCUAAUACAUGCAAGUAGAACGCUGAAGGAGGAGCUUGCUCUUCUGGAUGAGUUGCGAACGGGUGAGUAACGCGUAGGUAACCUGCCUGGUAGCGGGGGAUAACUAUUGGAAACGAUAGCUAAUACCGCAUGACAACAGUUAUUGCAUGAUAACUGUUUAAAAGGGGCAACUGCUCCACUACCAGAUGGACCUGCGUUGUAUUAGCUAGUUGGUGAGGUAACGGCUCACCACGGCGACGAUACGUAGCCGACCUGGGAGGGGGAUCGGCCACACUGGGACUGGGACACGGCCCAGACUCCUACGGGAGGCAGCAGUAGGGAAUCUUCGGCAAUGGACGGAAGUCUGACCGAGCAACGCCGCGUGAGUGAAGAAGGUUUUCGGAUCGUAAAGCUCUGUUGUAAGAGAAGAACGAGUGUGAGAGUGGAAAGGUCACACUGUGACGGUAUCUUAUCAGAAAGGGACGGCUAACUACGUGC